rnacentral:rRNA from 1 species
UACGUAGGGUGCGAGCGUUGUCCGGAAUUAUUGGGCGUAAAGAGCUCGUAGGCGGCUUGUCACGUCGUUCGUGAAAACUUGGGGCUCAACCCCAAGCUUGCGGUCGAUACGGGCAGGCUAGAGUUCGGUAGGGGAGACUGGAAUUCCUGGUGUAGCGGUGAAAUGCGCAGAUAUCAGGAGGAACACCGGUGGCGAAGGCGGGUCUCUGGGCCGAUACUGACGCUGAGGAGCGAAAGCGUGGGGAGCGAACAGG